AGACGUCUACAUUAGAUACCCGUGUAGUCCCAGCCCUAAACGAUGCGCGUUAGGUGUAUCGGUGACCACGAGUCACCGAGGUGCCGAAGGGAAACCGUGAAACGUGCCGCCUGGGAAGUACGGUCGCAAGGCUGAAACUUAAAGGAAUUGGCGGGGGAGCACCGCAACGGGAGGAGCGUGCGGUUCAAUUGGAUUCAACGCCGGACAACUCACCAGGAGCGACGGUUACAUGAAGGCCAGGCUAAUGACCUUGCCUGAUUUUCCG
rnacentral:rRNA from 1 species